UACUUUUUUUUUCUCUUUCCAUUAUAUCCAGCUUGUAGCACAAGUAAAUUCAAGUAACUAUUACCUGAAACACACCUUCAUGGAAUUGUAGGAACAGCAACCUGAAACAAAAGAAACUACCCUCCUGCUCCCUGAGAGGCCCGUGUUAUUAACACAGUGAAACUUGUAGCACAAGUAAAUUCAAGUAACUAUUACCUGAAACACACCUUCAUGGAAUUGUAGGAACAGCAACCUGAAACAAAAGAAACUACCCUCCUGCUCCCUGAGAGGCCCGUGUUAUUAACACAGUGAAACUUGUAGCACAAGUAAAUUCAAGUAACUAUUACCUGAAACACACCUUCAUGGAAUUGUAGGAACAGCAACCUGAAACAAAAGAAACUACCCUCCUGCUCCCUGAGAGGCCCGUGUUAUUAACACAGUGAAACUUGUAGCACAAGUAAAUUCAAGUAACUAUUACCUGAAACACACCUUCAUGGAAUUGUAGGAACAGCAACCUGAAACAAAAG